CAACGCGAAGAACCUUACCUGGUCUUGACAUCCACAGAACUUGGCAGAGAUGCCUUGGUGCCUUCGGGAACUGUGAGACAGGUGCUGCAUGGCUGUCGUCAGCUCGUGUUGUGAAAUGUUGGGUUAAGUCCCGCAACGAGCGCAACCCUUAUCCUUUGUUGCCAGCGGUNNGGCCGGGAACUCAAAGGAGACUGCCAGUGAUAAACUGGAGGAAGGUGGGGAUGACGUCAAGUCAUCAUGGCCCUUACGACCAGGGCUACACACGUGCUACAAUGGCGCAUACAAAGAGAAGCAAUCUCGCGAGAGCUAGCGGACCUCAUAAAGUGCGUCGUAGUCCGGAUUGGAGUCUGCAACUCGACUCCAUGAAGUCGGAAUCGCUAGUAAUCGUGAAUCAGAAUGUCACGGUGAAUACGUUCCCGGGCCUUGUACACACCGCC
rnacentral:rRNA from 1 species